CUGAAUCUAAAGAUUUGAACACUUAUUCGAUUUAUAACUUGGUUGGAUCACUCAUUGCUUAUGAGCAAGGAGUGAAUCAAAGAAAUCUUGAUGCAUGUGAGAAAAAAAAAGAAAAAAACUAUGGCACUAAAAGCCAACAACACGAACACUGAUCCUUUUGGAUAUGAAAAUGAUGAUGUUGUCUUCAUCACUAGGCAAUUCAAAAGCUUUUUAAGGAAGAAGCAAAAAGACCAUUAGAAGUGGAAAAAAGGUAAGGAUAGUAAAAAUUAUAAAAGUUCUUCUGAUGUUGUUUGCUUUGAAUGCAGGAAGCCUGGACAUGUUAAAACUAAUUGUCCUACUCUUAAGUAGCACCCAAACAAGGAGAAUGGUGAGGAAAAACCCAAAUACAGGAAGGACAAUAAGCGAUCCCAAAAAGCUUUAUGGGCGGAUUCUGCAUCUAACUCAUAUGAGACUGAAGCAGAGGAGGAAACUAAGAACUUAUGUUUAAUGGCCGAUAAUCAACAUGAACAAUCUGAUCAAGAAGAGGUGAGCUCUCAUCAAAGACCUUGUGAGAGUAUAAGUUACUUGGACAACGGAGGCUCAUGGCUCAUAAUUGCUUAAAUUUGCUGCUUAAUAAAUUUUGAAUUGCUUAUCUACUACUAUGUUGAUUGUUGUUAUUUUCUAUUAGUUUAUUAUGUUUGAUGUUGUUCUUUAGUAGUUAUAUCUCAGAUGUUUUUGGUUUUCCUUUUUUAGUUGAAAUGAUAUUUUUGUCUUAUUUUA